rnacentral:rRNA from 1 species
CAAUAGCGUAUAUUAAAGUUGUUGCAGUUAAAAAGCUCGUAGUUGGAUUUGUGGCGUACGGUGUGUUCCGGGCACUUGUUGUCUGAGUAACCUGCUGUUGCCAUCCUUGGGUGGAACCUGUGUGGCAUUAGGUUGUCGUGCAGGGGAUGCCCAUCAUUUACUGUGAAAAAAUUAGAGUGUUCAAAGCAGGCUUAUGCCGUUGAAUAUAUUAGCAUGGAAUAAUGAGAUAGGACUUUUUUGCUAUUUUGUUGGUUUACGCAAAGAGGUAAUGAUUAAUAGGGACAGUUGGGGGUAUUCGUAUUCCAUUGUCAGAGGUGAAAUUCUUGGAUUUUUGAAAGACGAACUACUGCGAAAGCAUUUACCAGGGAUGUUUUCAUUAA